CCUUCCUGCAGGAGCCACUGUUUUCUCCCAUUUCAAAACUAGCUGGCUGAUGUCUCCUUUCUCAAAGUUCUGGCCUUCAGCUUUCUGCCAUGUGGCUUUAAGAAAAAGAUAUAAAAUAUACUAAAGCUGCUUUAAAAUUAAAAGCCGUAACUGAAGAAGUACAGCUUGAGGGAUGGUGGACAUUGUGACCUCGUUUCUAACCCCUUCAGUCUUGUCUAUGGAGUAAAUUCCUGAAGUGUUCCUGGCAUGUUCUCACUCAUAGUACAGAUCAGAAAACCCAAAUGGAGAGACAAACAUUGUUUGGCAUGAGGAUGCCUUAAGAACUUUUAUUGUGACACUCACAGGCUAUUUGGUGCUGGUGUGGGAAGAUGGACAAAGAUCGGAGAAAAGCUGUAGCACCACAGACUGGCCGUGCCUGCUCCCCAACCCUUUUUGGUCCAGCAGAACCGUGACACACAAGAACAUGCCUGGGAGGCUUUAUCUGCUGUCUCCGUUAUAACAACGAUCACUCACUGACUCAGAGUGGGGAGCAGGCUCCCAGUUAGGCGGCUGACCUGCAUCCUUGACUCAGAGCAGAAUUAACAUUAUUCACCAACUGGACACUGCAGUCUCCCACCUCCCUGUUCAUUCACUGGCUUGUCUCAUAACUGUAUAGGGAAUCUAUUGCUAUUCCUCAGUGACAGGAAUCAAACCUUUCCCACAUCUUUAUCUCCUACAGAGAUUAGCUUGUGGGCUUGCAUGUGUGUGAGAAAUGUUGAGUUUAAUCCUCCACUCACAGGCUGGAUGUGAUCUGCUGAGUGCCCACCAUCCUCCAGGUGACCUUGCCACCUAGGUCAGAGGUUGGCACCUGCAUCGAAGGCAGCUGUCUCACAAGCCGGCCACGGCCCACAAGAUGGACCAGGGAAGGAGCUCAGCCCAAUGACACUCUUGAGAAUGGACGUUGACUGGCCAGCCAAUUAGAUCCUCUCUCUUAGAGAGUUUGGAUUUAAGAACUAUAGACAGAAUCCAUCAGUUGGCAGCUGAAGUAGUAGAAACAAGUUGAGCCACAAUGUGAUAAAACCUUGAAAGUAAACAGCAAUGGCUACCCAUGUGUAGGAGGCUGGAGCUAUUAUAUCCUUGAGUGAUGUAACCCUGAGGCUUUGUCUAGCUACAAUUAAAUGCUAUAUUUAGGAACACAUUUACUCUUCUACAGCCAUCAUCCAAAUGUAUAAAUAUUGUAAAAGAGUUUGGGAACAUAAGCCAAAAUGAAAGGGAGCCAGUUCCUUAGCUGAGCCCAUUGUUUUCAAAUUCAGGACAAGGCCAAGGGUCUCUGUUGCUACACUGACUUCCCGUCCCUUUCUCCCCAGUUCCAUGGUCUCAACUGGCUGACGAGAAUGGGGCUGUCUCCAGCCUGUGCCCAGUGUCAGGUGAGACAGGAAGAGAAAAGGAACAGCUCAAUCUGUUGUCACAAAUAAAACUGUAAUCUUUUAAACAAAUGGUGCUAGGGAAAGUGUAUGUAUAUCCACAUGCACAAGAAUGAAGUUGGACCCUUACCUUACACUAUACACAGAAGACUAACUCAAAAGUGGUUCAAAGACCUACAUUUAAGAGCCUAUAACCCUUAGAAUAAAACAUAGGUGCAAAUCUUCAUGACCUUGGAUUAGACAAUGAUUUCUCAGGUAUGACACCAAAAGCACACGAAGAAAAACUAAACUGUAUUUCAUAAAAAGUAAAAACUUUCUGUAUCAAAGACACUAUCAAAGUUUGUAAAAAGACAGCCCACUAAAUGGGAGAAAAAAUUUGCAAAUCACCUAUAUGAUAAGAAAUUAAUAUUCAGAAUAUAUUAAGAACUCCUACAACUCAACACACCAAAAUAACCAAACCACCCAGUUACAGGGUGGACCAAGAACCAAACAAACAUUUCUCCAAAGAAGAUACACAAAUAGCCAAAAAGCGUGUGAAAAGAUGCUCAACAUUAAUUAAGGCAAUGCAAAUCAAAACCACAGUGAGAUACCACCAUUAUCCAUCAGGACAUCUAUUCAAACAGAAAAUAAGUGUUGGUGAGGAUGUGCAGAAACCAGAUCCUUCUUUCAUUGCUGGUGGGACUGUAAAAUGGUGCAGCUGCUGUGGAUAACAGUCUGGCAGUUCCUCGAUAAGUUGAACAAAGAAUUUCAGUAUGCCCCAGCAAUACCACUUCUAGAUUAUAUGCCCAAAACAAUUGAAAACAGGGACUCAAACUUGUACCCAUGUUCACAGCAGCAUUAUUCACAAUAGCCAAAAGGUGGGGAAAAAACCAAGUGUCAAUCAAUGGAUAAACAGAUAAGCAAAAUUUGGUACACGUGUCAUUGGAAUAACAUUCAGCCAUGAAAAAGAAUGGAAUUACAAUACAUGCCACAACAUGGAUAAGACUUGAGAAUAUUAUGCUAUGUAAAAAUCAACCAGUCACAAAAGGACUGAAUGGCAUAUAAUUUCACUUUUACGAAUCCUUCACAGAGGCAAAUUCCUAGAGGUAGAGAGUAGAAUAGAGUUUGCCAAGGCCUGAGGGUGGGGGAAGGUUAGAAAGGGCAAUUACUGCUCGAUGGGUAAGAGUUUGUUUGGACAAUGCUAUAUGGAAAGAGCAGCGAUGGUCAAACAACAUUGUGAAUGUACUUAAUGCCUCUGAAUUUUAUAUUUAAAAUUGUUAAAAUGGUAACUUUUAUUAUGUA